GACGAACGCUGGCGGCGUGCCUAAUACAUGCAAGUCGAGCGCAGGAAGUCAUCCGAACCCUUCGGGGGGACGUUGACGGAAUGAGCGGCGGACGGGUGAGUAACACGUAAAGAACCUGCCCUCAGGUCUGGGACAACCACGAGAAAUCGGGGCUAAUACCGGAUGGGUCAUCGGACCGCAUGGUCCGAGGAUGAAAGGCGCUCCGGCGUCGCCUGGGGAUGGCUUUGCGGUGCAUUAGCUAGUUGGUGGGGUAAUGGCCCACCAAGGCGACGAUGCAUAGCCGACCUGAGAGGGUGAUCGGCCACACUGGGACUGAGACACGGCCCAGACUCCUACGGGAGGCAGCAGUAGGGAAUCUUCCACAAUGGACGAAAGUCUGAUGGAGCAACGCCGCGUGAACGAUGAAGGCCCUCGGGUCGUAAAGUUCUGUUGUAAGGGAAGAACAAGUGCCGCAGGCAAUGGCGGCACCUUGACGGUACCUUGCGAGAAAGCCACGGCUAACUACGUG
rnacentral:rRNA from 1 species